AGUUUGAUCCUGGCUCAGGAUGAACGCUAGCUACAGGCUUAACACAUGCAAGUCGAGGGGCAGCAUGGUCUUAGCUUGCUAAGGCUGAUGGCGACCGGCGCACGGGUGAGUAACACGUAUCCAACCUGCCGUCUACUCUUGGCCAGCCUUCUGAAAGGAAGAUUAAUCCAGGAUGGCAUCAUGAGUUCACAUGUCCGCAUGAUUAAAGGUAUUUUCCGGUAGACGAUGGGGAUGCGUUCCAUUAGAUAGUAGGCGGGGUAACGGCCCACCUAGUCAACGAUGGAUAGGGGUUCUGAGAGGAAGGUCCCCCACAUUGGAACUGAGACACGGUCCAAACUCCUACGGGAGGCAGCAGUGAGGAAUAUUGGUCAAUGGGCGAUGGCCUGAACCAGCCAAGUAGCGUGAAGGAUGACUGCCCUAUGGGUUGUAAACUUCUUUUAUAAAGGAAUAAAGUCGGGUAUGCAUACCCGUUUGCAUGUACUUUAUGAAUAAGGAUCGGCUAACUCCGUGCCAGCAGCCGCGGUAAUACGGAGGAUCCGAGCGUUAUCCGGAUUUAUUGGGUUUAAAGGGAGCGUAGAUGGAUGUUUAAGUCAGUUGUGAAAGUUUGCGGCUCAACCGUAAAAUUGCAGUUGAUACUGGAUGUCUUGAGUGCAGUUGAGGCAGGCGGAAUUCGUGGUGUAGCGGUGAAAUGCUUAGAUAUCACGAAGAACUCCGAUUGCGAAGGCAGCCUGCUAAGCUGCAACUGACAUUGAGGCUCGAAAGUGUGGGUAUCAAACAGGAUUAGAUACCCUGGUAGUCCACACGGUAAACGAUGAAUACUCGCUGUUUGCGAUAUACGGCAAGCGGCCAAGCGAAAGCGUUAAGUAUUCCACCUGGGGAGUACGCCGGCAACGGUGAAACUCAAAGGAAUUGACGGGGGCCCGCACAAGCGGAGGAACAUGUGGUUUAAUUCGAUGAUACGCGAGGAACCUUACCCGGGCUUAAAUUGCACUCGAAUGAUCCGGAAACGGUUCAGCUAGCAAUAGCGAGUGUGAAGGUGCUGCAUGGUUGUCGUCAGCUCGUGCCGUGAGGUGUCGGCUUAAGUGCCAUAACGAGCGCAACCCUUGUUGUCAGUUACUAACAGGUGAUGCUGAGGACUCUGACAAGACUGCCAUCGUAAGAUGUGAGGAAGGUGG
rnacentral:rRNA from 1 species